rnacentral:rRNA from 1 species
CCUACGGGUGGCAGCAGUGAGGAAUAUUGGUCAAUGGGCGAGAGCCUGAACCAGCCAAGUCGCGUGAAGGAUGACGGCCCUACGGGUUGUACACUUCUUUUGUCAGGGAGCAAUUGGGUCCACGCGUGGGCUUAGCGCGAGUACCUGACGAAACAGCAUCGGCUAACUCCUGGCCAGCAGCCGCGGUAGCACGGAGGAUGCGAGGGUUAUCCGGCUUAAUUGGGGUAAAAGGUUGCGUAGGCGGAGUAUCAAGUCAGCGGUAAAAGUUCGGGGCUCAACGCCGUCGUGCCGUUGAAACUGAUGUUCUUGAGUGGGCGAGAGGUAUGCGGAAUGCGUGGUGUAGCGGUGAAAUGCAUAGAUAUCACGCAGAACUCCGAUUGCGAAGGCAGCAUACCGGCGCCCAACUGACGCUGAAGCACGAAAGCGUGGGUAUCGAACAGGAUUAGAUACCCUAGUAGUC